AUCCAGCUGACGAGUCCCAAAUAGGACGAAACGCGAGCCCUGGAU
rfam:Schistosoma mansoni strain Puerto Rico chromosome W, complete genome